rnacentral:rRNA from 1 species
UACGAAGGGGGCUAGCGUUGUUCGGAAUUACUGGGCGUAAAGCGCGCGCAGGCGGCCAAUCAAGUCAGGGGUGAAAGCCCGGAGCUCAACUCCGGAAUUGCCUUUGAAACUGAUCGGCUUGAGUACGGGAGAGGUGAGUGGAAUUCCCAGUGUAGAGGUGAAAUUCGUAGAUAUUGGGAAGAACACCGGUGGCAAAGGCGGCUCUCUGGACCGUAACUGACGCUGAGGCGCGAAAGCGUGGGGAGCAAACAGG